GUUGUGCACAUUUUUGGAGCCGUGGCGAUCCAACGCCGAGUUUCCACGGAAGGAGGGAUGCAAGAGAGAAAAGAUAGCAUGAACCAUUCGAACAAAAAUAGGUAUCGAGGAAAGAAAGGAACCAUUUAUUUUCCUUUUGAUCUUUGAUGGUGAAGUUUUUGCAUAUAAUUUGUUGGUGGGAGUUUCCUAAGGCUACUGGUUCUCCUUUGAUUUUGACCUCCGCUUUCUUUUUCCAUACGAUGAUGGGUAUUUGUUUUAAGAGCAGGUUCAUUAUCAGAUAAUGUUGUUCAACAAGGACAAAGGAAAGAUUAUGCAUAGGAAAGACCAAAUGUCAUUACAUUUGGCAUGCUUUCUGUAGUGCAGAGGCUGACUGGAGGAAAGUAACUCUAGCAAUCAACUAAGAAAAUGAGGUUUUAGUUCUACAGCAUUGCUGCCACGUGUGCGG